UACGUAGGGUGCAAGCGUUGUCCGGAAUUAUUGGGCGUAAAGAGCUCGUAGGCGGUCUGUCGCGUCUGCUGUGAAAAUUCAGGGCUUAACCCUGAGCUUGCAGUGGGUACGGGCAGACUAGAGUUCGGUAGGGGAGACUGGAAUUCCUGGUGUAGCGGUGAAAUGCGCAGAUAUCAGGAGGAACACCGGUGGCGAAGGCGGGUCUCUGGGCCGAAACUGACGCUGAGGAGCGAAAGCGUGGGGAGCAAACAGG
rnacentral:rRNA from 1 species